ACGCUCGACACCUACGGGGGGCAGCAGUAGGGAAUCUUCCACAAUGGGCGCAAGCCUGAUGGAGCAACACCGCGUGAGUGAAGAAGGGUUUCGGCUCGUAAAGCUCUGUUGUUGGAGAAGAACGUGCGUGAGAGUAACUGUUCACGCAGUGACGGUAUCCAACCAGAAAGUCACGGCUAACUACGUGCCAGCAGCCGCGGUAAUCUGAGCGGGCUGGCAAGGC
rnacentral:rRNA from 1 species